CCUACGGGAGGCAGCAGUGGGGAAUAUUGCACAAUGGGGGGAACCCUGAUGCAGCGACGCCGCGUGAGUGAAGAAGUAUUUCGGUAUGUAAAGCUCUAUCAGCAGGGAAGAAAAGGACGGUACCUGACGAAGAAGCCCCGGCUAACGACGUGCCAGCAGCCGCGGUAAUACGGAGGGGGCAAGCGUUAACCGGAUUUACUGGGUGGAAAGGGAGCGCAGACGGCUGGGCACGUCGGGAGGGAAAGGCGGGGGCCCAACCCCCGGACUGCUCUGGAAACGGUAAAGCUGGAGUGCAGGAGAGGUAAGCGGAAUUCCUAGUGUAGCGGUGCACUGCGUAGAUAUUAGGAGGAACCCCAGUGGCGACGGCGGCUUACUGGACUGCACCUGACGUUGAGGCUCGCAAGCGUGGGGAGCAAACAGGAUUAGAUACCCCGGUAGUC
rnacentral:rRNA from 1 species